AUCAAGCUGACGAGUCCCAAAUAGGACGAAAUGCGCAUCCUAGAU
rnacentral:hammerhead_ribozyme from 1 species